AGAGUUUGAUCCUGGCUCAGAAUGAACGCUAGCGGCGUGCUUAACACAUGCAAGUCGUACGAGAACUCUUUAGCUUGCUAAAGAUAGUAAAGUGGCGCACGGGUGAGUAACGCGUGGGUAAUUUACCUCUGAAUUUGGGAUAACUCCGCGAAAGCGGGGCUAAUACCGGAUAAUAUUUCAGGAUCUUCGGGUUUUGAAAUCAAAAGUGGCCUCUACAUGUAAGCUACUGUUUGGAGAUGAGCCCGCGUACCAUUAGCUUGUUGGUAGGGUAAUGGCCUACCAAGGCUACGAUGGUUAGCUGGUCUGAGAGGAUGAUCAGCCACACUGGAACUGACACACGGUCCAGACUCCUACGGGAGGCAGCAGUGGGGAAUUUUGCGCAAUGGGGGAAACCCUGACGCAGCAACGCCGCGUGAGUGAUGAAGGCCUUCGGGUCGUAAAGCUCUGUCAAGUGGGAAGAAUCUGGGAAAUGCUAAUACCAUUUUUCACUGACGGUACCACUGAAGGAAGCACCGGCUAACUCCGUGCCAGCAGCCGCGGUAAUACGGGGGGUGCAAGCGUUAUUCGGAAUUAUUGGGCGUAAAGGGCGCGUAGGCGGUCUUUUAAGUCAGAUGUGAAAGCCCGGGGCUUAACCCCGGAAGUGCAUUUGAAACUGAAGGACUUGAGUAUGGGAGAGGGAAGUGGAAUUCCUGGUGUAGAGGUGAAAUUCGUAGAUAUCAGGAGGAACACCGGUGGCGAAGGCGACUUCCUGGACCAAUACUGACGCUGAGGCGCGAAGGCGUGGGGAGCAAACAGGAUUAGAUACCCUGGUAGUCCACGCAGUAAACGAUGAACACUAGGUGUAGCGGGUAUUGACCCCUGCUGUGC
rnacentral:rRNA from 1 species